UUGCUGCAAACACCACACCCAGUCUGGAUGCCCGCACAGCAGCUGUCUUUUCUUAAAGAUGGGGCUCCAGCCUAGCGGCCGAGCCACCAGCUAAGCCAGGAUUCUACAAGAAUCUGUUUCCAGAAUAAACUGAAGUCAUUCCAGAGAGAAGCAGAGAAUCUACUGUGAUUCAGGGCAUUUAUAUAACUUCACAUAUUUCUCCCAUUGUCAUCAAUGCAUCGGAUUCUUUAAAGUUUCAUUGUUUCUUUUCCCAAGAAAGAGUUCUUUUUGAGUAAGUGUUCUAUACAAAGGACAUUCUUCCUACCUAUUAUUAGAAGAAGAAAAAUCUUAAUUGGACCAAAAUAUUUAAAACUAGAAGUCUAUAUCAAAUGUAAUGUAUUGAAUUGAAAGGAAAAAAAUGAGUCUUGAUGAAAUACAGUCUUAUUUA